rnacentral:rRNA from 1 species
GAUGAACGCUGGCGGCGUGCCUAACACAUGCAAGUCCAUUGAAGCAAUUAAGAUGAAGUUUUCGGAUGGAAUCUUGAUUGACUGAGUGGCGGACGGGUGAGUAACGCGUGGAUUACCUGCCUCACACUGGGGGAUAACAGUUAGAAAUGACUGCUAAUACCGCAUAAGCGCACAGUGCCGCAUGGCAGUGUGUGAAAAACUCCGGUGGUGUGAGAUGGAUCCGCGUCUGAUUAGCCAGUUGGCGGGGUAACGGCCCACCAAAGCGACGAUCAGUAGCCGACCUGAGAGGGUGACCGGCCACAUUGGGACUGAGACACGGCCCAAACUCCUACGGGAGGCAGCAGUGGGGAAUAUUGCACAAUGGGCGAAAGCCUGAUGCAGCGACGCCGCGUGAGUGAAGAAGUAUUUCGGUAUGUAAAGCUCUAUCAGCAGGGAAGAAAAUGACGGUACCUGACUAAGAAGCCCCGGCUAACUACGUGCCAGCAGCCGCGGUAAUACGUAGGGGGCAAGCGUUAUCCGGAUUUACUGGGUGUAAAGGGAGCGUAGACGGCGAAGCAAGUCUGAAGUGAAAACCCAGGGCUCAACCCUGGGACUGCCUUGGAAACUGUUUUGCUAGAGUGUCGGAGAGGUAAGUGGAAUUCCUAGUGUAGCGGUGAAAUGCGUAGAUAUUAGGAGGAACACCAGUGGCGAAGGCGGCUUACUGGACGAUAACUGACGUUGAGGCUCGAAAGCGUGGGGAGCAAACAGGGAUUAGAUACCGUGGUAGUCCACGCCGUAAACGAUGAAUGCUAGGUGUUGGGGGGCAGAGCCCUUCGGUGCCGCCGCAAACGCAGUAAGCAUUCCACCUGGGGAGUACGUUCGCAAGAAUGAAACUCAAAGGAAUUGACGGGGACCCGCACAAGCGGUGGAGCAUGUGGCUUAAUUCGAAGCAACGCGAAGAACCUUACCAAGUCUUGACAUCCCCCUGACGGGCCGGUAACGCGGCCUUUCCUUCGGGACAGGGGAGACAGGUGGUGCAUGGUUGUCGUCAGCUCGUGUCGUGAGAUGUUGGGUUAAGUCCCGCAACGAGCGCAACCCUUAUCCUUAGUAGCCAGCACGUGAAGGUGGGCACUCUAGGGAGACUGCCAGGGAUAACCUGGAGGAAGGUGGGGAUGACGUCAAAUCAUCAUGCCCCUUAUGAUUUGGGCUACACACGUGCUACAAUGGCGUAAACAAAGGGAAGCGAGACAGUGAUGUGGAGCAAAUCCCAAAAAUAACGUCCCAGUUCGGACUGUAGUCUGCAACCCGACUACACGAAGCUGGAAUCGCUAGUAAUCGCGAAUCAGAAUGUCGCGGUGAAUACGUUCCCGGGUCUUGUACACACCGCCCGUCACACCAUGGGAGUCAGCAACGCCCGAAGUCAGUAACGCAACCGAAAGGAGGGAGCUGCCGAAGGCGG